UACGGGGGGAGCAAGCGUUGUUCGGAUUUACUGGGCGUAAAGGGCGCGUAGGCGGCCACCGCAAGUCGACUGUGAAGUCUCCGGGCUUAACCCGGAAAGGUCAGCCGAUACUGCGGGGCUAGAGUGCAGAAGGGGCAACUGGAAUUCUCGGUGUAGCGGUGAAAUGUGUAGAGAUCGGGAGGAACACCGGUGGCGAAGGCGGGUCUCUGGGCAAUUCCUGACGCUGAGGCGCGAAAGCGUGGGGAGCAAACGGG
rnacentral:rRNA from 1 species